rnacentral:lncRNA from 1 species
GUACCUGAGUGAGCAAAUGUGGAGGUGGAGGUAGUGGUAGGACCCUCAAGCUGAGCCAUUAGAUGCUGGAUACUCUCAAGCUCUUCUUUGGAGAUUGUAACCAACUCCCUAGAAUGAGGCAGAGGCUGGGGUGUGAAAGUACCAGUAGAGGCUGAACCUGAUGAGGAGACUCUAUGGGCUGCAGGUAGGCCAUGACGACUACUAGAUUUCAUAGAAUUUUGAAACUUUGAAGGUCGAGGUAAAAGGCUCCCUACAAGUCUCCUUUGUAUGAAGAGAGCAACCACAAUGUUCACACUUCAACUUGUCUUUAUCUUUUGUCAAGAUACUCCCUUUGCCUAUCAUUUUGCUACCCCCUUGACUGCCUUUUUGAGACAUCGAGGCAAGGGC